rnacentral:sRNA from 1 species
CCGAGUAGCCACUUCUUGUUGUCUUCUUCUUACCAUAUUCCAU